rnacentral:rRNA from 1 species
CCUACGGGUGGCAGCAGUGGGGAAUAUUGGACAAUGGGCGAAAGCCUGAUCCAGCCAUGCCGCGUGUGUGAAGAAGGCCUUCGGGUUGUAAAGCACUUUCAGUGGGGAAGAAAGCCUUGGGGCUAAUACCCUCGAGGAAGGACAUCACCCACAGAAGAAGCACCGGCUAACUCCGUGCCAGCAGCCGCGGUAAUACGGAGGGUGCGAGCGUUAAUCGGAAUUACUGGGCGUAAAGCGCGCGUAGGCGGUCUGAUAAGCCGGUUGUGAAAGCCCCGGGCUCAACCUGGGAACGGCAUCCGGAACUGUCAGGCUAGAGUGCAGGAGAGGAAGGUAGAAUUCCCGGUGUAGCGGUGAAAUGCGUAGAGAUCGGGAAGAAUACCAGUGGCGAAGGCGGCCUUCUGGACUGACACUGACGCUGAGGUGCGAAAGCGUGGGUAGCAAACAGGAUUAGAUACCCUAGUAGUC